CGAGGAUUUACAGAUGAUGAUGAGUUAGAAGAAGAAAGAAGACUUUGUUAUGUAGGAAUAACAAGAGCCAAAGAAAUACUAUAUAUGACAUAUUCAAG
rnacentral:sRNA from 1 species